CAGAACCUCUGAGACCGAUUACAAUGGGUUGAUAAACAAGAGGGAUUUUCCUGGCACUGCUGAGGAGACCCUAGAUGCCUGUUGCCCAGUGCCACCCUCUGAGGCCCGGGGUGAAGAGCUGAUCUCUCAGACCAGGCACCCCUUGGACUCUUCCAGGUGAGCAGCUGCCUCUCUGCUUGCCUGUGAGAUUGUCCCUGAUUAUGAUCUCAAGCCAGAGCCCUCGGGACUAGCCCAGGCUUUUUCCUUUAUUCAGUUGUCUUCUCUGGUAACAACCGGGUCCUUUUGAGCUUUAUUGUUUUCCUGUUUGACUUGGUUAUUUCAUUUAGGAGGAUUUCCCAGAGUUAAUACCUCUCUCGUCUCCUCCUGUCAUUCUUGGGAGCGGGUUCCCUUCUUCCUGCACUGCACCUGUGAAAGGCAGCUGCUGUCAGAGCACCAUCAAAUACGGUGAACGGGUUACAGCCUCUUCGGAUCUGGCAUAGGACAACUUUAUUUCCUAUUCUGUCCUGAAGGGGAUUGAAGAUUCUCUGUGAAAUCAUGUUACUCUGCAAACCCAUCCAGUGGACUUUAGUCACUCAUUGCACAUGUGGUAAUAAAGUGGUACAAUGCAAGGAGGACUAAUAAUUGGUGGGGUUUGAGGGAGAGAGGGAAGAAGAUAGUGGCAUCAUCUCAAUGCCGAGAGUCUUAUCUCAAGUAAUGAUUUCAAGUGAGUGGCUUAACUCUGAGGUUUUUCUAGAAGAAUCCUUAAAGGAUCAUGCAAAUUUGUAACGUUUAAAGGUAUAUAUUGAGUUCUCCCCAAAGAGCAAUUUCAUUAACUGCUGGUGUUACUACCAGCUGGAAUCAUAAUCCUUUUCUUAUAUUACAGAGCAUGCUUCAACCAAAGUAUUUUCCCUAUAUACUCUCAUAUUAAGGAAUAAUUUUAAAAACAAUAAACUUGAAAUAUCUCUAAGGAAACUGUUGACAUAAUUCUCUUCUUUAGAUAUCAUGGGGCUUCCAAACAAGAUCUGUUUAUGGUAAUAUUAUCAUUCACAAUUUCCCAAAGCUUUCACUUAAUCUGUUUUUAAAUAGUCAAAUAUUAAUUAGUAAUACCUCAUGCUGGAGAGACACUGUUAUUCCAAAAGGGGCUACCUGAAAUGGGAAACUGAUAAUCAUACUGAUAUAAUGAUAUCAUCAAACUAAGAUGAUAAGCAUUUGUCUCAAUUAGAAAGAAACCAGACAUGAUGCUGUGUUCUUAGCAGCAGUGUUGUCAAGUUGGGAGUAUUGCAGGGAGUAUGUGGUUCCUGGGUUCUAGCUUUUCCUUCCUCGUAACUUCCUCAACACUUUCAAGGACCCCCAAAAUCUGUCACUGGCUCCCCAUUACCUCAAGAAUAGUUAAAACUUUUUAGUAUGGCAUGCAAGAUACCAGGCAUUCCCUGACCUGCUUCCCCCACUUCCUCUUCUCCAGCUCCCAUCGCAUCCUUACAUGCAUUUCAUGCACAAGUCAUAUUCUCAUGAUUCAGUAAACAAGCCGUACUAUUUUUAUGCCUGUGGUUUGGGACAUGCCUCUUGCUUUUUCCUGGAAUGCCCUUUAACCCCGUGCCUGUCUGGAGAGUUCCUUCUCAAUGCUCAAACUUCAGUUCAAUUGUCACCUUCUCAGUGAAGCUUUUUCCAACCCUCCCUCUCCGUUCUCUGCCUCCUGCCCUGAAGCUAUUUCCUUCUUUUUGUCACUCCAAGACCUUGUAAACAUGACAUUAUAGUAAUUAGUGAGCAAUAUUGCAAGUAUUUGUAUACUUGUCUUUCUUCUUCACUGGACUGUGUGUUUCUUGAGGGCAGGGGCUGUAUUUAAUUACUUUUGGUUUUCGUAGCACCUUGGAUAAUAUCCAGCGUACAGCAGGCUCUGCAAAAAACUUUUAAAAAAUGUGCUGAUUAAGGAAUUAAAAUAAUUUUUAUCAAAGAACACGUAUUUACUGAACUGCUCUAUUUCCUGCACUGUGCUGGUGCUGUGGGGAACACAAAAGAGGCAAUUAUUUCUCUACUCUUGGGGACUUUAUGGUUUAACCUGAAAGACAAGGCUGACCCACUUGAAACAAUUAGACAUUGUCUGCCAAGGAGGGUGCUGCAGAACGCUCACCGUGGGAGAGCUACAUCAGAAAGAGUACUGUGGUCAAUUACAUUUGAAAUGUUGCUUAUUAUACCCUCCUUCAGAGAUUUCAGUGUACUUAUGCACACUAAAUGCUCUGAGAAAUCGCGUGAUAAAGAAGCCUGUGUAAAUUCCAAAUCUCAUAUGACCAGAAGGCCUUUUUGGUGUGGGUAACACCUAUUAAUAUCCUGUGGUUCUGAGGAAUACACUGAUUUAGAGAAUAGAAAUAAGUGUUAAACUGCACAGACACAAUUAUAUACAAAGCAGUGCAAAGAAAGAGACAUCACUCUGGGUUUGAAUAGGUAGGAAAAUAUCCUAGUAUGAGUCCAGCUUUGGGGUAUUAAAUCGAGGACUAUUUUAUAACCUGGGUUCUUGAUGUUUCUUUUCUUUUUCUCUUCCACAUAGGGAGAGUAUGUGCCCUCACCAUUGCCUGGGCAAGGUUGGAUGACUUCUCCUCCUGGUAGCUGUAGAGACCAUCAUGUGCCAAACAGUGUGCCACAUGCUCUACUUCCAUUAUUUCAGUGCCACUCUGGGAGUUGGAGACAUCAUAAACUCUCUUUCACAGGUGUGCAAGCUUUGGGUAGAAAGGGAAUGUGACUUUCCUGUAGUUGCAAUGCUAGUGAGUGGUAGAGCCAGGACUCAAAAUCAGUCUGAAAUGAAAAGCCAUACAUUUAACCAUUAGUCUAUAUAUUGUACUACAUUCCAAAGAAGACCCAGAGGUUCUCAGGGAAGAAGCAACAUGAAAAAGCUUAGAGGCCACUGAUAUUUUCUCCUUUUGCCUAAGUGAGUUUGAUGGGUAAUUUUAUGUGUCAGCUUGCCUGGGUUACAGUGCCUAGAUAUUUGGUAAUGUGUCUGUGAGGGUGUUUUUGGAUGAGAUUUACACUGAAAUUGGUGGACUUCAAAUGAAGCAGAGUGCUCUCUAUAAUGUGAAUGAAUCUCCUGAAAUCAGUUGAAGGCCGGAACAGAACAAAAGACUGACCUCCCCAGAGCAAUAACAAAUUGUGCCAGCAGAUGUCCUUUGGACUUGAACUGCUACACUGGCUCUUCUUGGGACUCCUGCUUGCCAGUCCACUUGGCAGAUUUUGGACUUGAUCGCUUCCAUGAUUGCAUGUCAAUUCCAAAAUUGUCAAUUCCAAAAUAAAUCAUACACACACACCCACAGAACCUAUUGGUUCUGUUUCUCUGGAGAAAUCUAAUACAGUAAAGAGAGGAAAAUCAAAUAAAUGUCCUCUGGGAUUGCAGGGCCCAGUCAUGGAGAUACUAGCCCAACGGAGAGAGCAGGAACUGUUUCCACAGUGGACAGGUCUGCAGCAAACAUAGCCCAAGAGCCAUGACUUAUCAUCCUGUGCACCAGGCCCUCCUGUGGCCAAUACAGCUGUCAGGGCGUAGCCCCGCAUAGAACAGCUCUCAAGUCUUGACCUCCAGAUGGAGUCAUCUUCCUUGAAAUUCUGCCUUCUUUUCUGAGAGGCAUAUUUCCACAGGAUUUGAUUCACUUGUGGUGAAUGUGAAGAAUGUCAGGAACAUCAUUCACCGUUGGUGCGUAGUAAACCUGGUGGUUCUGAGUCAAGGCUUGAUGGUUGGUAUCAGUUCUAAUUUUGGUUCUGUUACUUCUAACCAGGUGACUCUGAGCAAGCUUGGACACCUUUUGUCUUAAUUUCCUCAUCUGUAAAAUGAACAUAACAACAGCAUCUACCCCAUAGAGUUCUAGGAAGAUUAAUUGAAACAAUAUGUGUACAAUACCCUAAGGCUGAAGCAAGCUUGAUUGAAAAAGGAACACCUAAAACAAAGAAUCCUGCGCCAGGAGAAGAUGCUGUGGGAAGAGGUGCUGUUCAUGAGGACUUUACUUCGAUCUGAGAAGAAACUGAAAGUAAAAAGAAGUUUUGAUUAUCCAGUUAAUCAAGCUGAAGGUGGGUUCCAACAGGACUGAAUUUAAAUCUGUUUUUCUGCCUGUCCCAAGUGGUAGAUUUCCUCUUUUGAGAUUUCUUUCAUCUCCUAUAAAGACAAGUUUUACCAUCAAAUUCUUUUUAUCUGAUUUUGCCUUUUAAUACCUGCAUUGUAAACUUUGAUCUCUCUUGAAAAAAGUGGGUGGAAUCAUGAAACAUUGAAAUCGUGUUGAUUACUAAAAUGUAAGCUUGCUUUUCUUUGUUUCUGUUGCACAUGACAUCAUUGAUUUCUUUUCUCUCCACUUCCGCUUCCUUUCUUUUUUCUCCCAAAAGUACAUGUUAUCUCCAAAAUUUUCUGAGUAGGAAGAAACUAGUUCAAUUUCUGUUUCUUCCAGCAUCCACUAGUUUUAGAAUAAAGAGUUGAUUACGAUGCUUCUAAUUCAAAAGCACUGUGGUUUGGGGCCAGCCCGGUGGCAUAGUGGUUAAGUUUGUGUGCUCUGCUUUGGCACCUUGGGGUUUCGCAGGUUCAGAUCCUGCAUGCGGACCUAGCACUGCUUGUCAAGCCACGCUGUGGUGGCAUCCCGCAUAAAAUUGAGGAAGAUUGGCACAGAUGUUAACUCAGGGCCAGUCUUCCUCACACACACACACACAUACACACACACACACAAACCAAUGUGGUUUAUUUUUCCCAAACACACUGGUCUAUUGAUGUCUCUGCCGUUUCUCACCUGGAUUACGCUAUUGCCACCUAACCAGUGUCUUUGCUCACUCUUGAUCCACGAUUACCCAAUUUUCACCCAAUUUGAUAUAAAAAUAUCACAGUGAUAUUUUUAAAAUUUGGAUGAUGCCAACUCCAGCUGAAAACUCUCAAAUCUUCCUACCAAAUCCAGUGGAUUCUGGCCCCUCUUAUCCCUCUAACUCGGUCACUACACUCCAGCUACACUGGCCUCUCUUGGACUAUCGCAGGCUUGGUUGUACCUUAGGGUUUGGAGCCCUAGUUUGUUUUAUAUCUGCCUCCUUCUCAUCAUUCAUGUCUCAUCUCAUAUGUCACCUCUUCAGAGAGGCCUUCCCUGACCACCUGCCCAAAGUGUGUCUACCUCAGUGCUCAUUGCUGUCACCUCACUCUGUUUUGUUUCCAUCAUGGUUUACCUCACUCUGAAAUCAGCAAGUUUAUUUAUUUGAUUUUAUAGUAUAUUCUUUCUGGUUUCCCAAUAAGAUAAUGAACUUUUGAGGGUGUUGACUUUGUUUGUCUGGUUUGCCACUGUAUCUUGAGCACCAGAAUAAUCCUUGGAACAUAGUAAUUGUUCAAUAAAUAUUUGUCAAAUGAGUAAUUAGUUACCUAGGCAUGUUUCCUAAUUAUAUUCUGGUCAGAGACAUAUGUGUGCCUCUUGAUUGAGAAGUUUGGCCCUAAUUAUAGGUUCGUCUAAAUAUAUCAAAACAAAUGAUGCCUGCUAAUUGCUCAGGUUCUCAUAUUUUCAUGGAGUGGGUUGAAUUAAUCUUCAACCUGGGCUGUCAUAAUGUAUAAGGGUGUAUAUUGAUGGAGAAGUCUAGCAGCAAUAUUUCUUGGACAUUAUGGGAAAUGCAGGAAUGACGGCAGGACCCAGUAGGAAUGCCACUGACUGAAGUCCGUAAAUGUGUAGGCAUCUAAAUAUCAGGGAAGAGUCUUUACCCCACCCCCCUUUAUCACUCACAUCAAAAGUCUUCUUAAAGAUUCUUUAGCACAUGAGUGCUAAAUAGUAUGGAACUUUCCAGCCCAGGAGAACAAAGGCAGCAAGUGACAGAUUCUGUCUAGUGGCUCUCCCCAGUAUAGCUGGAAUUUAAUUUCAAUAAAGCAGAUGACUUCUUAGGGAGGGUAAGUGAGCUAUUAAUUCAUGAGAAGGAAAAGAGGAGGUUAAAUGUGGGGCUGUCAAUCCGAGCAAUGCCCUUGCAAGACAGAUGAUACCAUCUUCCCUUUUCAAUAGCCUUCCUGGCAUCUAAUUUGCAUGAGUUGUGAGAUAACACUCAGCUCUGUCUCAUUUGCAAAUCUGGAAACAUAAGGGACAGACAGGCCUCCAACAGUAAAUCCAGAAAGUGUAGCAAGGUUAACUCUUCUCAUUUAGAGACGGAAAUGAUGUGCUGGUCACCGCCUGGAUGAAAAAGAAGGGCCUGUGAAAUUAUGGGGAUAUCUACGAAAGUAAAUAUGGUUAUAGUUCCCGAAAUAAGACAGUCAGAUAAAGGAUUUACUGUCCCAAAAUCAAGGGUGUCUUCAGAAGACUGCUCCUUAAUGAAUGAAUGGAAUUCUCAUCAAGCAAAAGAGCAAUCAGCAGGGUGGACAGUCAUGGCUUCGUGAUAUUCUUGGAUGAGUUACCAAAAGUUUUUUUUUUUCUUGUAUUUCCUGUUCCCGUUUGGACUGCAAGAUCUGUGUCCUUCAUUGCCUCAAGUUAAGGGGAAUGAAAAAGAAAUCCAAGAAAAACUUGAACUUUUUCAAAAGAACAGUCUAACCUUUGAGAGUACUCAGAGGAUAAACACUAACGUGAGCAGACUACAAGAUGAGUCAGCGGCAGGAAUCAGGCCAGGAGACUAGACAGCGACUCCACAGGUGGAGAGGUAGAAACAAGUCUGAGAAGAAGCAGUGCACAUGGGCUCAGAAACGGGAUAUCCCCACCUUGACCUAGCCCCUCAGGCUAAUUCAGGUGGGGAUUGCAAUAAAAAAUGACAGGUAUGUCUGAAGCUCUGUGUGCGGCUUCCAGAAUAGAAUCUCAGAGAGGUGGCAAGACCUCAGAGAGGAAAUGGUGGUGAGAUUGGGCAGAUGGGUCCUUAGUUCACAGUGCCACCACCUAGCCUGUCACUGGAGCAGUGCUGCAGAAUUAGUGCCCCCUGCCCUCGCCCCCAGCAGCGACUCCUCGACCAGUAGAUUCAUGGGAGAUAGUGCACAAAUAUCCAAGCUCUCUUGUGCUCAGGUGAGAUAACUCAAAGGUGUGUGUUCUACAUUGACCCCCAGGAUUCCCCAGCAGGAAAAAUCUCAUUACUCAUAGCGGCUGCCUUGCCUUCCCUUCUCCAUCUCACUUCUCACUCUCCUACUGUUUCCUGGGAUCAGCUCCAAACAAACUACAUACACUUGAAUCUUUGUCUCAAGAUCUGUUCCUGGGGGAAUCCAAACAUACACAAUCAAAUCUAUGUACACCUCACCCCACCCAAACGAGCCCUGACACCAUGUAAUUACCCUGGAACUUGGCACAAGUUGAGUAAAGAUGAAGCAACUGUAAAAUAACAGAGACUAAGUUUUCAUCACCUGGUUGAAUGAUUACUGAAAAUAGGAUUUUAAUUCAGUUAUAGAAAAAUAAAGAAAUAUAUGUCUGUGUACUUGCCUUUUGGCCAGAGAUUCCUAUAUAUCCGUUGAUGGACUGAUUUGUUCACAAAAUUUGUCUAUUCAGAAAGGGAGACUGUCAUACUGUCAGCUUCUGCUUUAUAUCCUGCCUUUGUCUUCCCUGUUUCCCAUGAGCACAUGUACUGAACUCCCCCCGCCCCCCCAAUACCCAGGCCUUCUUAAAUUUCUAAAAACCUUUUAAGAGCCAAUCCUGAAGUAACUAGAAGGGUCAGUCAUCUCUCCACCUGGAAUGGCUAACCAUAUAUAGCAUACCUGGAUACCUAUAUAGUCUUGAGUUGCUAGAUACACUUUCUGGAACUUUUCAUUCCUGGUGCCAACCCUUGCUGACUGUAGAAGUAAGCUAAUGCCUUGCUGCAUACUCUACAAUGUGGAAACUUCUGUAGCAGAAAAAAUAUGUUUAUAAUAUAACUUAUUUUUUCUGAUAUUUUAUUAUCCCUCUUGGCUGAUUUAGUCAUGCUCAACUCAAGUUCUUAACCUAGCCUCCAAAGGAAUUUAGAAUGAGAAAGGAUUAGUUACUUUCUGCAAUCUCACUGCCAGGUUUUUAAGAAAGCAAGUCUUAGGUCAAAUUCGACUACACACACAGACCUUUAUGAGAGAAUCACUUUAUGGAAGAGGCAUAACAAUUUAUACAAUCUGCGCUCCAUAAAGUAAGCUCCAUAAAGUCUCUCUGCACUGUAUUUUUGGACAUUCUGUCCAUCACUGGUAGGAUGCAGACACAGCGUUGUUUCAGAGGCAGG
rnacentral:lncRNA from 1 species